UACGUAGGUGGCAAGCGUUACUCGGAAUCACUAGGCGUAAAGCGCAGGUAGGCGGUUUGGUAAGUCUUUUUGUGAAAGCUCCCGGCUCAACUGGGAGAGGUCAAAGGAAACUACUAGGCUAGAGUGUGGUAGGGGAUACUGGAAUUCCUGGUGUAGCGGUGAAAUGCGUAGAUAUCAGGAGGAAUACCUAUGGCGAAAGCAGGUAUCUGGGCCAUCACUGACGCUGAGCUGCGAAAGCUAGGGGAGCAAACAGG
rnacentral:rRNA from 1 species